rnacentral:rRNA from 1 species
ACAGGGUGACAGGUGGUGCAUGGUUGUCGUCAGCUCGUGUCGUGAGAUGUUGGGUUAAGUCCCGCAACGAGCGCAACCCUUGCUAUUAGUUGCUAACAGGUUAAGCUGAGCACUCUAAUGGGACUGCCGGUGACAAGCCGGAGGAAGGUGGGGAUGACGUCAAGUCCUCAUGGCCCUUAUGGGUAGGGCUUCACACGUCAUACAAUGGUCGGUACAGAGGGUUGCCAACCGCGAGGUGGAGCCAAUCCCUUAAAGCCGAUCGUAGUCCGGAUUGUUCUCUGCAACUCGAGAGCAUGAAGUCGGAAUCGCUAGUAAUCGCAGGUCAGCAUACUGCGGUGAAUACGUUCCCGGGUCUU